rnacentral:rRNA from 1 species
AAUCAACGCUGGCGGCGUGCCUCAGACAUGCAAGUCGAACGCGAAAGAGGGCUUCGGCCCUUGAGUAGAGUGGCGCACGGGUGAGUAACACGUGGGUAAUUUACCUUUGGGUGGGGAAUAACAGUCGGAAACGGCUGCUAAUACCGCAUAAUGCAGCGGCUCCACAUGGAGACAGUUGUUAAAGCGGGGGAGCGAGCAAUCGCCCUCGCGCCUGAAGAGAAGCCCGCGGCAGAUUAGCUAGUUGGUGAGGUAAUGGCUCACCAAGGCUUCGAUCUGUAGCCGGCCUGAGAGGGCGGUCGGCCACACUGACACUGAAUAACGGGUCAGACUCCUACGGGA